rnacentral:rRNA from 1 species
AACGAACGCUGGCAGAAUGCUUAACACAUGCAAGUCGAACGUGAAAGUACUUCGGUAUGAGUAAAGUGGCGCACGGGUGAGUAACACGUAGGUGACCUGCCGUUUAGAGGGGGAUAACCAGAAGAAGUUUUGGCUAAUACCGCAUACGAAGAACGAAUUUAAAUAUAGUUCUUGAAAGGAUGCCUCUGUAUAUGCAUCUACUAAACGAUGGGCCUGCGGUACAUUAGCUAGUUGGUGGGGUAAUGGCCUACCAAGGCGACGAUGUAUAACGGAUCUGAGAGGAUGAUCCGUCACACUGGAACUGAGACACGGUCCAGACUCCCACGGGAGGCAGCAGUGGGGAAUAUUGGACAAUGGGCGAAAGCCUGAUCCAGCAAUUCUGCGUGAGUGAGGAAGGACUUCGGUCUGUAAAGCUCUGUUAAUGUGGAAAAAUGGUUAGCGGUCUAAUAGGCCGUUAAUUUGAUGGUACACAUAGAGGAAGCACCGGCUAACUUCGUGCCAGCAGCCGCCGUAA